CACACGUCAUACAAUGGUCGGUACAGAGGGUUGCCAAGCCGCGAGGUGGAGCCAAUCCCAGAAAGCCCGAUCGUAGUCCGGAUUGUUCUCUGCAACUCGAGAGCAUGAAGUCGGAAUCGCUAGUAAUCGCGGAUCAGCAUGUCACGGUGAAUACGUUCCCGGGUCCUU
rnacentral:rRNA from 1 species